rnacentral:rRNA from 1 species
UGGGGAAUAUUGCACAAUGGGGGAAACCCUGAUGCAGCGACGCCGCGUGAACGAAGAAGGUAUUCGUAUCGUAAAGUUCUGUCCUAUGGGAAGAUAAUGACAGUACCAUAGAAGAAAGCUCCGGCUAAAUACGUGCCAGCAGCCGCGGUAAUACGUAUGGAGCGAGCGUUGUCCGGAAUUAUUGGGCGUAAAGGGUACGCAGGCGGUUUAAUAAGUCGAAUGUUAAAGAUCGGGGCUCAACCCCGCAAAGCAUUGGAAACUGAUAAACUUGAGUAGUGGAGAGGAAAGUGGAAUUCCUAGUGUAGUGGUGAAAUACGUAGAUAUUAGGAGGAAUACCAGUAGCGAAGGCGACUUUCUGGAUACAAACUGACGCCGAGGUACGAAAGCGUGGGGAGCAAACAGG